UGGUAGUCUGUCCUCAGUCCCUCCCGGUCGCUCAGCUGUGCGUCACAUGUCGGGUACCGCGAGUCCUACUCCUGCCCGUAUAUCAUCGAAUCGUGUACCGCUCGUUCGUUCAGGUUACCGUAUAACGCCGGAUUUCUACUCACCGGCAAGCGUUAGUCAUAUAUUAUGCUAUCUACCGCGUGCAUACCAACGUAUUAUCACAAAUCAAUCACGAAGUGCCUCGAACAUGCGGACGGCGUGACAAACACAGGCAACGGUGCACGCCGUUUUGUUGAUACAUUGAGUUCUGUGUUCAGGCCGCGAAGGCCACCGCGUCCUUCCUCGGUCUAGGAUCGCAUUUGCUACCGUGAUUGCAAUUUCAUGCAGAACUGCCCGAUCUGUCCGCAGUGUACGAGUUAUCGCGGAACGAUGACCUAAAGCGACGUGUCGCAGCACGGAGUUCGGUGAAGUAGGAAGAAAACAAGUUCAAGUCGCACGCGUCGUAUACGAGUGUUCUCCUUACCGGAAGUGUUUCUCCAAAUAUCCGACAGAUUCUCAAGUACAAUAUCGACCGUACCGUUUCAAUCGUCUCAUACAAGUGUCGAACUGCAUCGCGCGUGACAUUGUUAUUUUUCCUCGGUGUGUUAUCAAUUCGCUUCCGGCUUGUACGUUCGCGGUGUACGCGUAUGUUUUUCAACGCGAGUUUCGCACACGUAACGGAAGGGUGCGCUAGACCGCGGUGCAAAUGAUUUUUACCAGAGACCAUUUUGCGCGAGAUACUUUCGAGAACGAUUUGAUACACAGUGUUUGGUAAGAUACCGGUGUGCAUCCUCGUCGAACGUUCAGUCGAUUUAACGAGGUGUUCGAAACGAGCAGAGAUCGUUUAACCAUAGACAACCACAAAUAAUGUCGACGGGCAAGAGGCUGGCGAAACGCAGCAUAAUCGGCACCAGAGUGUGUGCUCCCGGCGAGGACGGGAAGUACUACAGUGGCGUCAUUCACGCCGUAAAAACGCCGGCGUCAGCCGCGUCCGAGUCAGGCCUCAGCAUUACACCCAAGACUCGCUACUCCGUGCGAUUCGACUCUGUACCCGGCGGUCGCCCGCCGAGUCCCAGCACCGAAUACUCUGACCGCGACCUGAUCGGGCCUGGCUUCGGCUCCGUUACCAGCGCGCGUCUCGUGCCCGGUCAGAAGGUCUAUCUGACGUACAACGGACGGGAAAUUCACGCGGAGGUCACGCAACAUCGCGAGCAUCUCGACGAGGUGGACGUGAUAAUUGUACCGACCGGCCAAGAGACUAUGAGGCUCACUAAACGUAUAGACGAGGUCAGGUUGCUCGAGUCACGUAAGAGUGCCCGGCUGGCCGAUCAGGAUACAGAUUUCGCUAGGCUCGCCGAUAUGGCUGGUGAUCGCAAACGGGCCUCAUCUCACUCCAUCGAUGUGCCACACGUGAUUGGAUCCAGAAAACGUCGACCCAGCUCGAGUAACGACUCCGAGCGGUCGUACAGUGGUUGGAGCGACAGGAUACCCCACGGAUGUGGCCGUGAGGGGUGCCGUACCAACGAACGCGGCGACUGCAUGGACGAGUGCACCGCGGCGCUGGUCCUCAUGUCGCUCUCGUGCUCGCCACACAGCCCUCACAAUCCCCUGCCACUGCACUGCCAACACAAUUACGGUUCCUGGGGAGGUCGAGGAGGGGGCGGUGGUGGCAUGGUAGUCGGCUCGCCAGGGGUCGGUGGCACGUCGAACAGCAGCAGCAGCAGCAGCGGGGCUUCAUGGCGGAGUGGCACCCCUAGUCCGCCUCUCAGCGACGAGGGGGCGCCCACCACCGGCUCUCUAUGGCCGACAUCCGCUCAUCCUUCGCACAAUCAGCAGCACUACCCUUAUAACGUCUCUGGCUCGUCGUCCAGUAGCACCCCAGGCUCGAUCACCACCCUGGACGAGGGUAUAGUGCCCGAUUACCUCGAGGAGCAGCACCCGCGCAAGAAGAAGAUCCGGGCGAAAGUGAACCGUGACCCAGUGGAAAAUGGACCUGGGAACAGCGCCAUCUACGAGAGCGAGCAGGCAAAUGCAGCGGUGGUGUUCAAAUGCACUUGGCCAGGUUGCCUAGAAAUCAAAGCGACCGUGGCGCUUAUCGAGGAGCACGUGCGUCAAUCACACUUGGGGCCGAAAAAAUCGAACGGCUAUGAUAACGAGGAGGACGACGACAUCUCCGACCACGAGGAGGAGUUCUACUAUCAGGAGGUGGCGGUGGAUCACAUGAGCUCGCCGCCGACGAUGUCGCACCGUGACAUGGCCAGGCCUCCGCACGAGGACCCAGAGUACCAGAAACAGCUCCGCCUGGAGGCCACUCCCGUCAUUAAUAACACGGAAAACAUGAUGGUGGGCAUCAGAGAGCGGAACACGGCGUUCAUUUCCCAAUCACCGGGCACACCGAUCAAACACAUAAAGCUGUCACCGCGGCCGUUCCAGGCGUACCAACAGAACAUGGGCCUGCUGACAGUGUCGACGGGGAAGAUGCCGUCGUCGCCGCGACGGAUCCGCGGCGAGACGAAGAAGUGCCGCAAGGUCUACGGUAUGGAGCAUCGCGACCUAUGGUGCACACAGUGCAAAUGGAAGAAGGCCUGCAGUCGUUUCGGCGACUAGGCCAAGCGGCCGCCCCGUUCGUAUGUCCGCGGGCGGAGACCGUCGCCGAGUCGACCCCAGAGUUUGCCAAUGCUACGUUAAACUUCUCGCCAACUGCCAGCAAACAAUUGCCAAUUUCCACACAUAGUCAGUCAGUCGUAACAGUCAAGUUACAGUCGUCGUCGUCGUCGUCGUCGCCGUCAUCGUCAUCAAUCACUGUGACGUUGUUGUCGCCGCGGCGAUGGCGACCACUCGCUCGAUACUCGCGCGAACGGAGCGUGUUUCUCUUGUGGGGUUCGUGUUGCAUCAUGGUCACGGGACAGCGAAGAGUACGCCUGUAAUAUCGUCCACCAUCUUCCAGACCCGUUCGACCUGAUCCAUAAACAGAUUUCGAUUAAGAGACACCUUGGACGCUGAGGAUCCAGGACAUGUCCUUUAGCUCCACGGUGUUCAGCGCGGCCGGUGUCGAGCAGCGAAACAGCUCUUCUUCCUGUUUCAUCUUCUCGUUCUUCUUGUGCAACCCGUCGUGCAAUCCUCGUUCUUCGCCUAGCAUUUGCCAUUCGUUGGAAACGGGGCGACGAGGAGCACGGGUCUAAGAGAAACGUCAAUCCCAUGACGGAUGGCGGACGCGGUUAGAAGGGCCGAUCACGUGUUUCGCACGAGGCAGGAAAAGAAUACGAGAAUGUCGAGGAAUAUCGUCCAACGACUUUGUCUAGACACACGGAGUCUCGUUGUCGAGCAAUGGUAGAGCGGAGAAGAAGAGAACCGAUUGGGCAGGAAUUUCACUGGGGAUGACGAUGGGCCGAUGAACAGCGACGAAGCGUGACGCGUGGAUAAAGGGUUGGAGAAAGGAACGCGACGAAAGGAAAGCCGGAAAGAAAGGGGAACGCGUGGAAGCAAAAUUUUAUACACCAAUUAUUAUACUGCCAGAUUAAAAAGUAAAUCGAUGAAACGAAUAAAAAAUUAUACGAAAAGAAAAAGCACAAAAAAAAGAAAAACCGAAGGUGCAAAGCGAAGAAGAAAACGAUCGCAAGCGUCGUUUCGUGCUUCUUGUACGAGAAAAUACAACACACACACACACCACAGAGCCAACCUUCGUGUGUGUCGGGCUCAGGCUGCUUGCCGGCCUCCUCUCGACGACCUAAGACCGUGUUCGCCGACGAACGGAAAAGAAAAUGCAAAAAGAAAACGAAAAAAAAAA
rnacentral:misc_RNA from 1 species